rnacentral:rRNA from 1 species
GGUCAAGAAGAGAAGCGCAAACGGUGGAUGCCUUGGCAGUAAGAGGCGAAGAAGGACGUGGAAUCCUGCGAAAAGCUAUGGGGAGCUGGAAACGAGCGUUGAGCCAUAGAUGUCCGAAUGGGGGAACCCGGCUGCAGCGAUGCGGUCAUUUGCAUUUGAAUACAUAGGAUGCAAAGGCGAACUCGGGGAACUGAAACAUCUAAGUACCCGAAGGAAAAGAAAUCAAGAGAGAUUCUCCAAGUAGCGGCGAGCGAACGGGGAGGAGCCUGGCGUGAUUUAUUAUUGAACUGAGUAGAACAAUUUGGGAAAGUUGGCCGAAGAGGGUGAAAGCCCCGUAUACGAAGGUUUGAUGAGGAACUAGGCACGCGAACAAGUAGGCCGGGACACGUGAAAUCCUGGUUGAAGAUGGGUGGACCAUCAUCCAAGGCUAAAUACUACUUACUGACCGAUAGUGAACCAGUACCGUGAGGGAAAGGUGAAAAGAACCCCGGAGAGGGGAGUGAAAUAGAAUCUGAAACCGUUUGCGUACAAGCAGUGGGAGCAUGGUUUAGGCUGUGUGACUGCGUACCUUUUGUAUAAUGGGUCAGCGAGUUACUUUCAGUGGCGAGGUUAACUGAAUAAGGGAGCCGUAGAGAAAUCGAGUCUGAAUAGGGCGAUAGUCGCUGGGAGUAGACCCGAAACCGGGCGAUCUAGCCAUGUGCAGGAUGAAGGUUGGGUAACACCAACUGGAGGUCCGAACCGGGUAAUGUUGAAAAAUUAUCGGAUGACGUGUGGCUAGGAGUGAAAGGCUAAUCAAGCCCGGAGAUAGCUGGUUCUCCCCGAAAGCUAUUUAGGUAGCGCCUCGUGAAUGAUUACUGGGGGUAGAGCACUGUUUCGGCUAGGGGGCUGUCAUGGCUUACCAAACCGAUGCAAACUCCGAAUACCGGCUAAUUGAAUCACGGGAGACACACGGCGGGUGCUAACGUCCGUCGUGGAGAGGGAAACAACCCAGACCGCCAGCUAAGGUCCCCAAGUACUAGUUAAGUGGGAAACGAUGUGGGAAGGCAUAGACAGCCAGGAGGUUGGCUUAGAAGCAGCCACCCUUUAAAGAAAGCGUAAUAGCUCACUGGUCGAGUCGGCCUGCGCGGAAGAUGUAACGGGGCUAAAACUAGUCACCGAAGCUGCGGAUGUGCGCGAAGGCGCACGUGGUAGGGGAGCGUUCUGUAGGCUGAUGAAGGUGCAUUGAGAAGUGUGCUGGAGGUAUCAGAAGUGCGAAUGCUGACAUGAGUAACGAUAAUGUGGGUGAAAAGCCCACACGCCGGAAGUCCCAGGUUUCCUGCACGACGUUAAUCGGAGCAGGGUGAGUCGGCCCCUAAGGCGAGGCUGAAGAGCGUAGUCGAUGGGAACCAGGUUAAUAUUCCUGGACUUUUUAUAAGUGGUGAAGUGGGGACGAAGAAGGCUAGGUGAGCCAGGCGUUGGUUGUC